rnacentral:rRNA from 1 species
GAUGAACGCUGGCGGCGUGCUUAACACAUGCAAGUCGAACGAAGCAUUUGCGACAGAUUUUUUCGGAAUGAAGUUGCUUAUGACUGAGUGGCGGACGGGUGAGUAACGCGUGGGUAACCUGCCUUGUACUGGGGGGUAGCAGCUGGAAACGGCUGGUAAUACCGCAUAAGCGCACAAUGUUGCAUGACAUGGUGUGAAAAACUCCGGUGGUAUAAGAUGGACCCGCGUCUGAUUAGCUAGUUGGUGAGAUAACAGCCCACCAAGGCGACGAUCAGUAGCCGACCUGAGAGGGUGACCGGCCACAUUGGGACUGAGACACGGCCCAGACUCCUACGGAAGGCAGCAGUGGGGAAUAUUGCACAAUGGAGGAAACUCUGAUGCAGCGACGCCGCGUGAGUGAAGAAGUAAUUCGUUAUGUAAAGCUCUAUCAGCAGGGAAGAUAGUGACGGUACCUGACUAAGAAGCUCCGGCUAAAUACGUG